GUUAUUUAUAAUAUUGUUUGUUUACGUCUGUAAUCACUGUUGUUUUUAACUUGACAAUUUAUAUUGAAACUGGGGUGAAUAAUAUAUGUUCACAAAGCCCAACAUGAAUUGUCAUAAAUCAAGCCCUUGUUUGAUGGAUGGUUGAGCUUUCUUUGACCCUUAGGGGUUGAGGAUGGUUCCCGAUUGUCGAAUUAAGGGCGUUGUCAUAUCCUGUCGCCUUGUGGAGCGGAUUUCGCUAUUACCUCUUGGGACUGGCCAUGAGAAAAACAUUUAUAUAUUUCACAAUGUAUGCUCAUGUGUUUGUGUGUGGAUUGUAUUUGGUCUGUUUUAAAGAAUUGUACUUGUUAUUUAUGUUUAUGGAUGAAUUGUUGACAAUUAACAAUGGAAAUGGGGUGAACUAAAUAUGUUUGCAAAACCCAAAGUUAAUUGUCGUAGAUCAAGCCCUUUGAUUGUUUGCAGUUGAGCCUUUCGGCUUGUGAGUUGAGAGGUUCCUGCUUGGCAAAGGGCGUUGUCAUAUCCUGUCGCCUUGGGGAGCAGUAUCUGCCAUUACCUCUUGGGACUGGCCAUGAGAAAAACAUUUUUUUAUAUAUUACAGUUUUGAUUCUUUGUUCUUUGUAUUAGUGUUCUGAUUAAUGUAUUUGUAUUGCAGUGGAAGAAGAAGCGGAUGAGGAGAUUGAAAAGGAAGCGCCGAAAGAUGAGACAGAGAUCUAAGUAGACGGUUUGCAAAAAUAAUUAGAUUGCUUCUUUCGAGCCUGCAUCUUCAUAUUCACUAUGUUGGGCUCUGCUAGGGGGAGUUUUCUGAUAUUGCUAGCAAGUGAUUCAGCUUUUGGUUUUCUUGUUUCUAGAAUGAACUUCUGUUUAGUUUGGUUAUCGUACUAUAAUUUUGAAAGGAUUAUGAACUUGGCUGUAAGGAAUGAUCUUUUUAAUUAUCUGAUAUUGUUUUAUGAAUCUAUAUUUUCGGCAUUGUUAGUGCUCUGAGAUGGAGGAAAAAUUUACUCCCCCAAUGAUCUUGUUAAUUCCGCUAGUAUAAUCAUUGGGCUCUGAAGUCUGACCAUCGUUCUCUUUCAACAUCUUAUGUUUUGCUUGGUAGUGAACGAGGUAUCAUAUUCAGGGUUUUGUUCGACUGUUGGAUGGCCUUACAAUUGGUUUUACUAAUUUGUUUAUUAGGUUUUUGGUAGGUGAAUAUACUACUAACAAUUGUCUAAUUUGGUUCCUAUCAUUCAUAAUACUCUGUAGUUCUCUCUGAGAAAUAUAAACUUAAUACUCCCUCUCCUUCCGUCUCACCUAUUUCUUUACACUUUCCUUUCUGAGGUGUCCCACCCAAUUCUUUACAUUUCAAAACUUACCAAAAAUAGUCAAUGGGUUCCACCACUUCUCCACUUUUCUUUAUUUUUCACAUUAGUUUUACUCCACUAUCUUCUUUUUAUACAUUAAAAAUCAAUGGGUCCCACCACUUUACCCAUUUUUCUUCCUCUUUUCCACUAUUUUAUACAUAUUCCUUAACCUCCGUGCCCAACCCAUUUGAUAAGAAAUGGGUGGGACGGAGGGAGUAGUUUAUUUUGUUCCAAAAUUCUGGAAACCCUGUUUUCCUUAAUUGAAAAUUGUGGAGCACUUAGAGGGGUGUAUUGGAUUGAGAUUUUAAAGCUUUUUUUUGCAUUGAUGAAAUCCGAGGGUAUUCGAUUGGGAUUGUUUGAAAUCCAUUAAAAUCUUGAGGUAUUCAAUUGGGAUUUCAAAUUAUGCUACAAAAUCUGGUGGUAUUCAAUUGGGAUUUUAAAUUAUGCUUUAAAAUCCGAUGGUAUUCAAUUGGGAUUGUUUAAAAUCCAUUAAAAUCUGAUGGUAUUCAAAUGCUGAUGGAUUUUUUUGCAUUUCAUAAAAUGAUGGAUUUUGUGGCAUUCUUCAGUGUAUUUUAAGUUUUUUGAAAUCCCAUCAAAAUCAAUGGGAUUUUGAAGCAUUGUGCUUAAAUCCUAUCAACUCUGCGACAUUUUAUCAAGAAUCCGCACAAAAUCAAAAUCAGACACAAUCCAUUAAAAUUCAUAAACUAAAAACAAUCCAUUAAAAUCCCAAUCGAAUACACCCCUCUUAGUUUCAGACCUGAACUUUGAACCUACAUGUAGAAUCUUUAAUAGAAUUAGAACAUUAGGUUGAGCAGUAUUUAGCAGGACCAAACUCUACUCCGGGCUAAAAAGAUACAUUCAAUAUGUGGCUGCUAGAGGUAAUUGGUGUGAGACGGACCGUGAAAUUCAAGUUAUUUGUACAAAAAUAAUAUGAACAUUUAUUCACCUAUUCUGUGACAACUCAAGUAAAAUUUAAAAAAAGAUGCACUCUCGUAGAAUCCUUGAUCCAAAUUAAUAUAUUUAUAAAUAUAUGAAAUGAAUAUAUAGGACCUUUCAUUCACACUUUCACAGCAUAUGUAUUUCCAAAAAUAUAUUAUCUUUCCCAAAUCAUGCAAAAUAUUGGAACUACAUCAAUCAAGUGGUCUUGCAUAAAUAAGACUCUUCGCCCACAAUUUAUUACUCUUAAUCGAACCAUAAAACGUCUCAUUGAUAUAUUAUGAAAAAUUGAAUUAAACAAGAGCAACUUAUGAAUUAAUUUACUAAUGUAUGUUAGCUUUAAGACAGUAUAGUAUUUAUUCGUAGUAAAUUAUGAGAUCGGUAUUAAUCUGAACACUAAACUUAAAACUGGGAGAAUACUAAGCAGUGUAAAGCGUAGAGCAAACAUGGUCUUUUCUACUUCGACUUCGAUCUCCCAUGCUCCUCCAGUUUGGAAACCUCCAGAUGCAGGCUGUUUCAAGCUUAACGUAGAUGCAUCCUUCCAUGCUGGCGCAAAUACAUUUUCGGUUGGUCUGGUGUUGCGAAAUCAUGAAGGCAUGUUCAUUAUUGGGAAGACUGUUUGUUGUGAAGGAGCUUCUAGUCCCCUGGAGGCUGAAGCAACUACUAUUUUUGAAGGGUUAAGUUGACUCACUUCUUUGUUGUAUCAGAAAGUAUCUAUCGAGUCUAAUUCUCUUAUUUGCAUUCAGUCAAUAACUUAUUUGAAGUGGGUAAUAUCUUGGAGAGCUGUCGCACAUUGUUGAACUCUAGGCCUCUCUAUCUCUCUUGUUAAAAGGCAAGCAAACAAAGUGGUUCAUGAAGUAGCUAAAUUAUCUUAUUCGCUCAAUUGCCCAAACAUUUUCACGUCUCCCCGUUGGUUUUGAUGGAGGCUAUUCUAUAUGAUUUUCCUCAUUAAUGAAAGUCAUCUUUUUAUUCAAAAAAAAGAAAAGAAAAAGGAAAGACUUCGUAAUAAAAAGUAAUCAGCACUAAAAGACUGAAACAAGGAGAGUAAUGCAUCUGAGAGAACUGAGCUAUUCAACCUUGUGUUUAAAGUGUUAAAUGCAACGAGUCUCAGACACCGUUGAUAUUGCACAAAAUCUAUACUAUUAUAUACUUAUAUAUAAUAAGCAGGGAGAUAAUUUGGUCGCAUGGUCCUCUGGUCCAAAAGCUUAUCAUCCGUUGGAUCUUAUAUUGAACAAAUAAGCACCGUUAGAUUGGAACCAAAUUAAAUUCUGUUCUAGAAGGCAACUGAUAUCUACUUGCAUGUUUAUAAUUCCUUUUCUGAAUCUAAAACAAAUUCUCUCUUUCACAUGUAUAUGAUUUUUUUUAAUCCUAAAUAAAUAUUUCCUACCAGUUUUAUUCGUAGAAUCAUAUAAAUCUCACCGUCACAAUUUUUUUAUAAUAUAUUUUAAAAUUAAUAAGCCGGAUUUAUGUGAGCAACAAAUACAAAAACUUUUUCUUAAUCCAAAAUAGAUUCUACCUUCUUAUUGCAUAUUUAUGAUUCCUUUUCUUAAUUCAAAACAAAUUAUGUUUAUCAAUUUUAAUUUAGAACCAUAUAAAUUUUUUGAAAAAUAUUUAAAUCACAUUAUAAUAAUUUUAAUAUAAAAUACAUUUAUUAAUAUAAUCUAAUAGGAGUUGGCAUAACGUAUUCCACUCAAAAUAUAUUAAAAUUUGAUAGAUAGAAUUUAAUACUUUGGCAUGAUACAUACGAGAAAAGGAAUUGCUUGAUUAAAAUAAUUUAUUUGAAACCAUUAAUGGCUGUGAUGAUGUAUUUACCAAAGUUCUAACUUACAAACAAAUCAUAAUUUCGAAUUUUAUUUUAUUGAAAAUUUUAAUUUAUUAUUUAUAAAUUAAAUUUUUUCACACCAUUUAAAAUAUAUUUAAAAAAUUUAUAAAUAAUUAAAAAGCUCCCGUGCCUUGCACGGGCUAUAAGCUAGUACUAUUAAAGCCGAAACAUUAAAAGUUUGGUCGGUCGGUACGCGGGCUUUUAUACAGACUUUUAUAAUUAACGGGCUCCAAACAAAAUUAGUGGGCUUCAAACAAAAUAUAAACAAAUCAAAACAUAAAACAAAUAUACAAUCGCUUAUAUACUAUACUAUUAAAGCCGAAACAUUAAAAAUUUGUUCGGUCGGUACACGGGCUUUAAUACGGACUUUUAUAAUUAUCCGGCUUCAAACAAAAUUAGUGGGCUUCAAACAAAAUAUAAACAAAUCAAAACAUAAAACAAAUAUAAGAUCAAAACAUAAAACAAAUUUAGGACCUAAAUGACUAUACCAAAAACUAAAGUUAAACCUUAAAAAUAUAUACGCAUCCAUACUAUACUAUAUUAUUAAAACCAAAACAUUGAAAGUUUAGUCAGUCGGUGCUUGGGCCAAAAUACGGGCCUAUCUAUAUGCCAAUUAUUCCUUUUAACUAAAAUAUGUUAUCUUUUUAUAUAUUUUCUAACUAAAAAAACUCCAUUAUUUAAAAUAACAUCGAAAAACUUAGUAAUUAUCUUUUUAACUAAAACACAUUAUCUUUUUUAUAUAUUCUGACUAAAAAAAUGGAUUAUCUACAAUUAACACGGGCUACAUAUAUCAUAAUUUUAUUCUCACAAUAAUAUUAUUUUACUAUACAAUUAAAGCCGAAACAUUAAAAAUUUUAUUCGGUCGCUACUUGGACCAAAUUAUGGGUCUACUUAUAUAAUCAAUUAUCUUUAUAACUAAAUCUAUUAUCUUUUUUUAUAUUUUCUAACUAAAAAACCUCAAUUUUCUAAAAAUAAUAUUGGACAACAUAGCAACUACUUUUUUUUAACUAAAACACAUUAUCUUUUUCAGAAUCCUAACUUAAAAAUCGAUUUUCCAAAAAUAACACAUGCAACAUUCAUAUAAAAAUGAUAUUAUAUAUCUAUAUUAACCGCCCGUGCAUUGCACGGGUUAUAAGCUAGUUAUACUAUAAUUUUAUUAUACUAUAACAUAUAUAUAUUUUUAAUUUGAAUCAAGUAACAUCCGUUAAAUAUUUUUUUUUGUAAGGAAGUAACAUCCGUUAAAUAUUACUUGAGUAUAACAUCAACAAUUAAAUAUUAAUUGUUUAGGGAAAAAGUUAAUAUUAAAGGUCAUUUUAUUUUACAAUAGUCGACAAAUCCAAACACGGGAAAAAAAUAUAGUCUUGACAUGAUAUUGAUGGUUGAUAUCAAUGAAUUAACUAUUAGUGAUGUAUGUUUGUUGAUUAUUCUUUUAUAAUAUUUGUUUUGUUCAUCAGACAUGUUUAUUGUUGUUAAUUUUUAUAUGAUUUACUUUGUAUAGAGGAAAAAAUUAUUCAUGCAUUAUCUAUUUGCACCUCUAUAGACUAUAGCCCCACACACGUGAACUAUCACAACACACAGCGGACUGAAAUAUGAUAGGUAAAGGCCCAAAGUCACACUAGAAGCCCAUAAAAGCCCAAAGAAAUUAGGGUUAUGACAUAGGUAGAGAGCCGUAUGAGUACUAAACCACAACAUCGUUUGUAGAACGGCCGGGAGUUAUACAAGACCCAGAGCAUAGAGAGCUAAGACAGAAGUUCCUUCGAGAUGCGUGCUAAGGUAUCCUCAUUGAUCUUAUUCUGAUUGUGUUUAUGUAUGUUUGUGUUUUAUUUAUGCGUAUGUUAUGUAAAUCCGAACUUGUUUCUUCAUGAUGCUGGUGGCUGUGUUAUAGAAUCAUAGUCACGUUUUUCUUAUGAACAUCAGCUUGUUUGAUAUGUCUUGGGUUGUGUAAUGACGAUGUUAGAUAUGCGUUUAGCCUAAUUUAGUUCUCGUAUAUCUUAAUUACCAUUUGAUUUUUGUAUAUUUGAAAGCUGAUGACUUGCAAAUUGUUGUGUUUGUUCUUGUUAUAUAUAAUAUUGUUUGUUUACGUCUGUAAUUACUGUUGUUUUGAACUUGACAAUUUAUAUUGAAAUUGGGGUGAAUAAUAUAUGUUCACAAAGCCCAACAUGAAUUGGCAUAAAUCAAGCCCUUGUUUGAUGAAUGGUUGAGCUUCUUUGAUCUUUAGGGGUUCAGGAUGGUUCCUGAUUGUUGAAUUAAGGGCGUUGUCAUAUCCUGUCGCCUUGGGGAGCGGAUUUCGCUAUCACCUCUUGGGACUGGCCAUGAGAAAAACAUUUUUAUAUUUAACAAAUAUAUGCUUAUGUGUUCAUGUGUGGUUUUUUUGGGUUUGUUUUAAAGAAUUAUACUUGUUUGUCAUGUUUAUGGAUGAAUUCUUGACAAUUAACAAUGCAAAUGGGGGGCACUAACUAUGUUUGCAAAACCCAAAAUUAAUUGUAGUAUAUCAAGCCCUUUUGAUUGUUUGCAGUUGAGCCUUUCAACUCUUGUGAGUUGUGAGGCUCCUGCUUGGCAAAGGGCGGCGUCGUAUCCUGUCGCCUUGGGGAGCAGUAUCUGCCAUUACCUCUUGGGACUGGCCAUGAGAAAAACAUUUAUUCUUAUGUUACAAUUUUGAUUCUUUUUUCUUUGUAUUAUUAUGCUGAUUAAUGUUUUUUGUAUUGCAG
rnacentral:lncRNA from 1 species